CACUUCUUCCUUAAGUUACUAGUUCCCUUAGAAAAUGCAUUCUUAUUUCCCUCCAACACCACUGGUUCCUUCUUUUUACUCCUCCUCCUGGCUCUUCCUUUUUUCCCCCCGCCUCUCCAUAUUCAUGAUCUCAUUCAGGACUCUUGCUUUAAAGAUCAAAUCCAUAUCCAAGUUCUGGCCUCUUCCCUGCAACUCCAGAUUCUUAUGUCUAGCUCAACACCUCUGCUUAAAAAUCUAAUGAACAUCUUAGACUUAACACUUCCAAAAUAGAAUUCCUGAUAUUUUCCCCCAAACCUACUCCUCCUCCAGUCUUCUCCAUCACAGUAAAUGGUGCCAAAUUCACCUAGUUGCUUAAUUCACAAAUAAUAAUGAUAAUAACACUUACUGACUUGGGCCAAAUUCUGUUCUAAAUAGAACCUUAUUUUUCUGUUUAGAAAAUACCUUAGAAAAAAACUUAUUGUUAAGGUUUAAUAUUUUCUGUGUUGGGCUUCCCUUUUGCCUUAGCUUCUUAGGAAAGUUUCUUUUGUUUGUUGUAGAAGCACAUUCAAGGGAUAUUUCACUAGCUCUCCUCCCACUCCAGACUCCCAUGCAUUCCGAGGUUACUAUGGAUACUGUAAGCCUGCCAUGCCUUGUUGACUGCUAAGUUCCAAUGAUGGAAUGUGGAGAGCACUGAGAGCCUCAGGCGGUGGUGAAGGAAGACAGAAAUGAAAAACACAAAAUGUACAGUCUGGGCUGCAAGAUUUAUGUAACAGAGGAUGGGCCAUUAUGUGCUGAGCAAGCUGGAGAGGCACAAGGUUGCCAAAUGGGUGUGCACCCCCUGCCCCCAAAAUGAAAGUCCAGUCUACUAUGGUUUGGCUUUCUACUACAAUAACCUAGCAAGGAACAAAGAAGCAAAGCAAUUAGUUCACAGGGCAAGGGCUGAGGAGGUGUGGAAGUCAUUUGGGACAAAAAAGCAAAAAGCUACAGAAACACUAAAGGACAAUGUGCUUCAAGGUCUGAGAAAGCAACCAAGAACUUCUCAGUGUGAAAAUGGAUUGCUUUACAGGUAACAAAUUCAAAGAACAAAGUAUCCAGGAGGAAAAAAAUUUCCUUUAAUUGAAUAACAAGAACAGUUAGUGUGAUCCACUACUGCUGGCAUAUAGAGUUAUUUGGAAAAACUCCACUAACACCACCCAUAUGUCCUGUCCUACGCAGAUGGCCAGAUAAAGUUGCCAGAGAGAAGGCCCUGUAGUUCAGCCAAAACUCACUGCAGAAUAGUUGUUUGUUGAAAAGCGCAGUCAUGGGAUUUUAGAACUUAAAGGGACUUGAAAUUUCUCUCUCCUAACCACCUUAUUUUAAAAAAGAGAUAACUAGACCUCUCAAGAGGUCAAAGAACACAUCUGAUCAGGGUCAAUAUCAGGCUCUACCCAAAAUGUGGGUUUCUGGACUGCAAGUGUAAUUAACCUAUAUCAUCUGUACCUAUCAACCAACAGCACUAUAGUCAGCUGUUGAUUUUUCAAGAACUAUGGAUAUUUUUAUUUCUCUUGGUAUUUCACUCCACAUACUCCACUAUGGAUGGAAAAAUAAGUACACAUUCAAAUCAAUUGGCUAUACUCUAUGUUACCACUUUUGUUAUGAGUUCAGUCAGAAAGAACCAAUGUUCAGACUGUUGUCCAAAGUAUGAACUGAAAAUUAUCUUUGGCUUUUUAUUUCUUGUGCGUUUCUUGUCUCUUCAUACCACAGAAAGUAUAAAGAGAACUCAGAAAGCUUUGCCCUGUUGGGGGACUGGCCUGGGAUACUGGUCAGCAGAAUACCAGCAGCAGCUUGAAGAUGAGCUCAUGGAAGGCAGUUAGGUGCAGGUGGGCAGGGUAAGUCCUCCAGGGCACUCAGUUGUGAGCAGCCAGGAGACAGCCACAGAGGGCACACUGAGCGGGCAUCUUGCACACUGAUGCUCGUAAUUGCCUUCAGGAAUUAUAGCCAAUAACUACAAGGCAAACUCGGCUGAGUUAACAGUAUAGAUACGUGAAAUCUAUUGAAUUUGGAGAAA